rnacentral:tRNA from 1 species
GCCCGGUUAGCUCAAUCGGUAGAGCGUGAGACUCUUAAUCUCAAGGUUGCGGGUAAGUUAACACAUUCUCAUACAAAUCAUACUGUCACGUGCUAAUCACGUGACCUCGCAGGUUCGACCCCCGCAUCGGGCU